UCGGGAAUUUUGCGCAAUGGACGAAAGUCUGACGCAGCAACGCCGCGUGAGGGAUGAAGGCCUUCGGGUUGUAAACCUCUUUUAUCAGGGAAGAUAAUGACGGUACCUGAUGAAUAAGUCACGGCUAACUACGUGCCAGCAGCCGCGGUAAUACGUAGGUGACAAGCGUUGUCCGGAUUUACUGGGCGUAAAGAGCGCGCAGGCGGUCGUUCAAGUCGA
rnacentral:rRNA from 1 species